GUGAGGAAUUUUCCGCAAUGGGCGAAAGCCUGACGGAGCAAUGCCGCGUGAAGGAUGAAGGCCUAUGGGUUGUAAACUUCUUUUCUCAGAAAAGAAUUAUGACGGUAUCUGAGGAAUAAGCAUCGGCUAACUCUGUGCCAGCAGCCGCGGUAAGACAGAGGAUGCAAGCGUUAUCCGGAAUGAUUGGGCGUAAAGCGUCUGUAGGUUGUUUAAAAAGUAUUCUGUUAAAGAUUAGGGCUUAACCCUAGAUAGGCAGAAUAAACUUUUAAGCUAGAGUUUGGUAGAGGCAGAGGGAAUUCCCGGUGGAGCGGUGAAAUGCGUAGAUAUCGGGAGGAACACCAAAUGCGAAGGCACUCUGCUGGGCCAAUACUAACACUGAGAGACGAAAGCGAGGGGAGCAAAUGGGAUUAGAAACCCGUGUAGUCC
rnacentral:rRNA from 1 species